rnacentral:rRNA from 1 species
AUUAUUAGUCUAUUAAGGUAGUCCCUGCUCAUUGAUUUUUUUUUUAAAGCUACAGUAUUUUAACUGUCCUAAGGUAGCAUAAUAAUUUGAUAAAUAACUUUUAUCUGGUAUGAUAGGGUUAAUAAGAAUAUUUCUUUCUUUCUUUAGAAAUGAAAUUUUCAAUUCAAGUAAAAAUGCUUGAAUAACUUAGAAAGACGACAAGACCCUAGAACCUAAACUGAUUUAACUAAGUUUUAUACUGGGAUGGUAAAUUUACUUCAAAAUAAUUUUAACAUAGUUAAUGAAUCUCAAAACCUAAAUUCUUAUUUAUAGAAAGGUACUCUAGGGAUAACAGCAUAAUUAUUUUUUAGAGCCCUAAUCGACAAAAUAUAAUUUGACCUCGAUGUUGAAUUAUAACACCUUAUUAAGAGAAAUUCCUAAAUUAAGGAGGUCUGUUCGACCUUAAAAUUUAUACGUGAU